UAUGGGAUUUUUUUUCUUGCUGGUUUAUUUGAGUUCCUUGUAAAUUCUGGAUACUUUGUCAGAUGUCUAGUUUGUAAAUAUUUUCUCCCAUUCUGUGGGUUGGCUGUUUACUCUUGACCUUCUUGGAUUGGGAUAUGUAAAUAUCUAGCCAGGUCAGUGAAGUUUUCCUCAGUUAUUUCCUCAAAUAAGUUUUCUAGACUUUUU
rnacentral:lncRNA from 10 species